rnacentral:rRNA from 1 species
AAAUUGAAGAGUUUGAUCAUGGCUCAGAUUGAACGCUGGCGGCAGGCCUAACACAUGCAAGUCGAACGGUAACAGGAAGCAGCUUGCUGCUUUGCUGACGAGUGGCGGACGGGUGAGUAAUGUCUGGGAAACUGCCUGAUGGAGGGGGAUAACUACUGGAAACGGUGGCUAAUACCGCAUAACGUCGCAAGACCAAAGAGGGGGACCUUCGGGCCUCUUGCCAUCAGAUGUGCCCAGAUGGGAUUAGCUUGUUGGUGAGGUAACGGCUCACCAAGGCGACGAUCCCUAGCUGGUCUGAGAGGAUGACCAGCCACACUGGAACUGAGACACGGUCCAGACUCCUACGGGAGGCAGCAGUGGGGAAUAUUGCACAAUGGGCGCAAGCCUGAUGCAGCCAUGCCGCGUGUAUGAAGAAGGCCUUCGGGUUGUAAAGUACUUUCAGCGGGGAGGAAGGUGUUGUGGUUAAUAACCGCAGCAAUUGACGUUACCCGCAGAAGAAGCACCGGCUAACUCCGUGCCAGCAGCCGCGGUAAUACGGAGGGUGCAAGCGUUAAUCGGAAUUACUGGGCGUAAAGCGCACGCAGGCGGUCUGUCAAGUCGGAUGUGAAAUCCCCGGGCUCAACCUGGGAACUGCAUUCGAAACUGGCAGGCUUGAGUCUUGUAGAGGGGGGUAGAAUUCCAGGUGUAGCGGUGAAAUGCGUAGAGAUCUGGAGGAAUACCGGUGGCGAAGGCGGCCCCCUGGACAAAGACUGACGCUCAGGUGCGAAAGCGUGGGGAGCAAACAGGAUUAGAUACCCUGGUAGUCCACGCCGUAAACGAUGUCUACUUGGAGGUUGUGCCCUUGAGGCGUGGCUUCCGGAGCUAACGCGUUAAGUAGACCGCCUGGGGAGUACGGCCGCAAGGUUAAAACUCAAAUGAAUUGACGGGGGCCCGCACAAGCGGUGGAGCAUGUGGUUUAAUUCGAUGCAACGCGAAGAACCUUACCUGGUCUUGACAUCCACGGAAGAAUUCAGAGAUGGAUUUGUGCCUUCGGGAACCGUGAGACAGGUGCUGCAUGGCUGUCGUCAGCUCGUGUUGUGAAAUGUUGGGUUAAGUCCCGCAACGAGCGCAACCCUUAUCCUUUGUUGCCAGCGAUUCGGUCGGGAACUCAAAGGAGACUGCCAGUGAUAAACUGGAGGAAGGUGGGGAUGACGUCAAGUCAUCAUGGCCCUUACGACCAGGGCUACACACGUGCUACAAUGGCGCAUACAAAGAGAAGCGACCUCGCGAGAGCAAGCGGACCUCAUAAAGUGCGUCGUAGUCCGGAUUGGAGUCUGCAACUCGACUCCAUGAAGUCGGAAUCGCUAGUAAUCGUGGAUCAGAAUGCCACGGUGAAUACGUUCCCGGGCCUUGUACACACCGCCCGUCACACCAUGGGAGUGGGUUGCAAAAGAAGUAGGUAGCUUAACCUUCGGGAGGGCGCUUACCACUUUGUGAUUCAUGACUGGGGUGAAGUCGUAACAAGGUAACCGUAGGGGAACCUGCGGUUGGAUCACCUCCUUACCU